UCGGACUGUAGGCUGCAACUCGCCUACACGAAGUUGGAAUUGCUAGUAAUCGUGGAUCAGCAUGCCACGGUGAAUACGUUCCCGGGUCUUGUACACACCGCCCGUCACACCAUGGGAGCUGGUAACACCCGAAGUCAGUAGUCUAACCGCAAGGAGGACGCUGCCGAAGGUGGGAUUAGCGAACUGGGGUGAAGUCGUAACAAGGUAAC
rnacentral:rRNA from 1 species